rnacentral:rRNA from 1 species
ACUCAAAUGAAUUGACGGGGGCCCGCACAAGCGGUGGAGCAUGUGGUUUAAUUCGACGCAACGCGCAGAACCUUACCAGGCCUUGACAUCCCGUGCUAAGCCCAGAGAUGGGUGGUCCCCGCAAGGGGCGCGGAGACAGGUGCUGCAUGGCUGUCGUCAGCUCGUGUCGUGAGAUGUUGGGUUAAGUCCCGCAACGAGCGCAACCCUCGCCUUUAGUUGCCAUCAUUUAGUUGGGCACUCUAAAGGGACCGCCGGCGACAAGCCGGAGGAAGGUGGGGAUGACGUCAAGUCCUCAUGGCCCUUACGGCCUGGGCUACACACGUGCUACAAUGGCGGUGACAGUGGGCAGCGACCACGCGAGUGGAUGCGAAUCCCAAAAAACCGUCCCAGUUCAGAUUGCACUCUGCAACUCGGGUGCAUGAAGGUGGAAUCGCUAGUAAUCGCAGAACAGCAGGCUGCGGUGAAUACGUUCCCGGGCCUUGUACACACCGCCCGU